rnacentral:rRNA from 1 species
UGGGGAAUCUUGCACAAUGGGCGAAAGCCUGAUGCAGCAACGCCGCGUGCGGGAUGAAGGCCCUAGGGUUGUAAACCGCUUUCAGUAGGGAAGAAAAUGACGGUACCUACAGAAGAAGGUGCGGCCAACUACAUGCCAGCAGCCGCGGUGACACGUAGGCACCAAGCGUUAUCCGGAUUUAUUGGGCGUAAAGAGCUCGUAGGCGGUUUGGUAAGUCGGGUGUGAAAACUCUGGGCUCAACCCAGAGAGGCCACCCGAUACUGCUAUGACUAGAGUACGGUAGGGGAGCGGGGAAUUCAUGGUGUAGCGGUGAAAUGCGCAGAUAUCAUGAGGAACACCAGCGGCGAAGGCGCCGCUCUGGGCCGUAACUGACGCUGAGGAGCGAAAGCAUGGGUAGCAAACAGGAUUAGAUACCCUGGUAGUCCAUGCCGUAAACGUUGGGCACUAGGUGUGGGUCUCAACCAACGAGAUCCGCGCCGUCGCUAACG